AUCUGGGUGGCUCAGUGGGUUGAGCAUCUGACUUCAGCUCAGGCUCAGGUCAUGAUCUCACAGUCUGUGAGUUCGAGCCCCACCUCAGGCU
rnacentral:tRNA from 1 species